rnacentral:lncRNA from 1 species
AUGCUGGAAGAGGAUAUUGCUGACAUCUUGGGUAAUAUCCUGAGAUUUAUUAAUUAAUCACGUGCAGGUUGGAGGUUAAGGCUUACUAACGGUCGAAAAGACUUCUUCUCCUCAAGACUCGGACGAAUCUGUUGAAGAAGAGACGUUGAGCCCGAAAGACCAGGUCUACAACGUUCAAUGAAGGAAUAUCCGGUGAAUCCCGCAAGUUUAGGAUAGUUUGUUGGUUUAUCUUUACUAUAAAUAGAUGUGGCGGAUCAGUUUAAGACACACUCUUUCACCAACACUUCCGUACGCUCUUACUCUCUACAAUCACCACACUUGUAUCCAAAUCAUAUUGUAACACUUAGUUGAUCCGCACCACAUCCUGCACUGUAUCCUGAUAUUUGAAGCAAUAAAGGAACAAGGCAGCUGCGAUUGUCAGCUCCCGAGGUUUUAUGCCGGCGAU